GAUGAACGCUGGCGGCGUGCUUAAUACAUGCAAGUCGAGCGAACAGACGAGGAGCUUGCUCCUCUGACGUUAGCGGCGGACGGGGUAGUAACCCGUGGAUAACCUACCUAUAAGACUGGGAUAACUUCGGGAAACGGGAGCUAAUACCGGAUAAUAUAUUGAACCGCAUGGUUCAAUAGUGAAAGAUGGUUUUGCUGUCUUUUAUGGAUGUAUCCGCGCCGCAUUAGCUAUUUGGUAAGGGACCGGCUUCCCAAGGCCACGGUGCGGAUCCGCCCUGAGAGGGUGAUCGGCCACACUGGAAGUGAGACACGGUCCAGACUCCUACGGGGGGCAGCAGUAGGGAAUCUUCCGCAAUGGGCGAAAGCCUGACGGAGCAACGCCGCGUGAGUGAUGAAGGUCUUCGGAUCGUAAAACUCUGUUAUUAGGGAAAAACAAAUGUGUAAUUAACUAUGCACGUCUUGACGGUACCUAAGCAGAAAGCCACGGCUAACUACGUG
rnacentral:rRNA from 1 species